rnacentral:rRNA from 1 species
UGGGGAAUCUUGCACAAUGGGGGCAACCCUGAUGCAGCGACGCCGCGUGAGCGAUGAAGCCCUUCGGGGUGUAAAGCUCUUUCGGCAGGAACGAUAAUGACGGUACCUGAAGAAGAAGCUGCGGCUAACUACGUGCCAGCAGCCGCGGUAAUACGUAGGCAGCAAGCGUUGUUCGGAGUUACUGGGCGUAAAGAGUGUGUAGGCGGUUUUCUAAGUUUGGGUGUGAAAUCUCCCGGCUCAACUGGGAGGGUGCGCCGAAAACUGGAAGGCUGGAGUAUGGGAGAGGAAAGCGGAAUUCCUGGUGUAGCGGUGAAAUGCGUAGAUAUCAGGAGGAACACCUGUGGUGUAGACGGCUUUCUGGACCAUUACUGACGCUGAGACACGAAAGCGUGGGUAGCAAACAGGAUUAGAUACCCUGGUAGUCCACGCCCUAAACGAUGCAUACUUGGUGUGAGCCGUUCAUUCGGUUCGUGCCGGAGCUAACGCGUUAAGUAUGCCGCCUGGGGAGUACGGUCGC